GUGAAAUAUAAAUGAGAUGUGGGUACAUGUUUUUUUGGCAGGAUGCUUACUUCUAUCGGAGGAGGGUCUGAAGCUCUUGCUGAUGGAGAUGAGCAGGCCGGAGGGUAUGGGGGCCUUCGCGUUGAGGUACUUGUAUAUGAGGGCCUGGUGCUCCAGCUCCAUCCACUGCGAAGGUGUGAAGGGCAUCUUGCUCCUGGCCAGCAGCAGCCUCUGCUCAUUUGACCUCCCGAAAUCCAUACCUGGCGCCGGGUCAAGACAAAAGUGCAGAUAAAGCGGUGAAAAGAAGCAAUGGAAUGGAGCAGCCUUGGCUGCGGAGGAGGGGCCCGUCGAACGCCAGAGCGCUGCACAUCUAUCAUGGCUUGCAGAGAACAGAUCGAGCGAAGAUCGUGCGAAAAAUAAAGUGUGUGGAAGAGGGAGGAGCGGAUCCAAGAAAAGACCUGACGAUGGAGGAGCGGCGGCCUUGGAGAAGCUGAGCAUCUUCUGCUCGUCGAGGAAGGGGGAGGGGUAGGGGCAG